rnacentral:misc_RNA from 1 species
AACGCAUCUUGCGCUCCCUGGUCUUCCACGGAGCAUGCCUGUUUGAGUGUCACGUAAACCCCUCACACUGGUGAUGUCAAAGUCGCCUGCUGUGGACUUGGAUGGUGCCGUCGUCGGCUCGUCCCGAAAUGCAUUAGCUUGCGACUCUUAGAGUGCAUGGCGUGGUGUGAUAAUAAUCUGCGCCGCUGCCGUUGGCCUCUUCCGUGUGUGCGUGGCUCACAGCCGUCCCCCCCGAGGGACAAUUUUUAAAGCUUUGGCCUCAAAUCAGGCAGGACUACCCGCUGAACUUAA